AUUGAACGCUGGCGGCAGGCCUAACACAUGCAAGUCGAACGAGUGGCGGACGGGUGAGUAAUGUCUGGGAAACUGCCCGAUGGAGGGGGAUAACUACUGGAAACGGUAGCUAAUACCGCAUACCAUCGGUUGUCCCCAGAGGGGUUGAGCUAGGAGGUGGGUUAACGGCUCACCGAGGCGACGAUCCCUAGCUGGUCUGAGAGGAUGACCAGCCACACUGGAACUGAGACACGGUCCAGACUCCGACGGGAGGCAGCAGUGGGGAAUAUUGCACAAUGGGCGCAAGCCUGAUGCAGCCAUGCCGCGUGUAUGAAGAAGGCCUUCGGGUUGGAAAGUACUGUCAGCGAGGAGGCGUUACUCGCAGAAGAAGCACCGGCUAACUCAGUGCCAGCAGCCGCGGUAAUAC
rnacentral:rRNA from 1 species